GAUGAACGCUAGCUACAGGCUUAACACAUGCAAGUCGAGGGGCAGCAUGAACAAAGCUUGCUUUGUUUGAUGGCGACCGGCGCACGGGUGCGUAACACGUAUCCAAUCUGCCCGCGGCUCGGGGAUAGCCCAUCGAAAGAUGGAUUAAUACCCGAUGGCGUGGUCACUCCGCAUGGAGUUUCCACUAAAGGUUUUCCGGCCGCGGAUGAGGAUGCGUAUGAUUAGGUAGUAGGCGGGGUAACGGCCCACCUAGCCUUCGAUCAUUAGGGGUCUGAGAGGAAGGUCCCCCANACUGGAACUGAGACACGGUCCAGACUCCUACGGGAGGCAGCAGUGAGGAAUAUU
rnacentral:rRNA from 1 species